ACCUAGCUGGCUCAGUUGGUAGAGCAUGCGACUCUUAAUCGUGAGGUCAUGAGUUCAAGCCCCAUGCUGGGUG